UACGAAGGGGGCUAGCGUUGCUCGGAAUCACUGGGCGUAAAGGGGGCGUAGGCGGGGCUUUAAGUCAGGGGUGAAAUCCUGGAGCUCAACUCCAGAACUGCCUUUGAUACUGAGGAUCUUGAGUUCGGGAGAGGUGAGUGGAACUGCGAGUGUAGAGGUGAAAUUCGUAGAUAUUCGGAGGAACACCAGUGGCGAAGGCGGCUCACUGGUCCAUUACUGACGCUGAGGUGCGAAAGCGUGGGGAGCAAACAGG
rnacentral:rRNA from 1 species